rnacentral:misc_RNA from 1 species
GUUUUUCUCUAAAUACAAAGAUGAAAUUUGCUUCAACGUGCCAAGUUCAGAUGGUAUUAUGCCAGAGAAAUCAUUGUUAUCCAAAUAUAGCCUUUCCAACUGUGUGAGCUUUCCAAGUUCUUUUGGAAGAUCACCUGAAAAUUUGUUGUUUGAUAAUACCAACUGAUUCAACUUAGUCGCAGCGUCGAUUCCACGAGAUACAGUUCCAGUGAAGUUGUUAUUGCUGAAAUCUAUCAUUGUGACUUCUGGAAGCUCCCAUAAACCCUCAGCAAUUCUCCCAGAAAGUUGAUUCUGACUCACCCUCAAUCUCAUUAAAGUCUUGCAAGAAGCAUAAUUAUCUGGAAACUCCCCUGUGAAACUGUUUUCAACA